AAAGUCUCUCCUGGCGCUUCAACAUUUCCCGCAGCUCCGACAAACUCCGCUGCCCCAAGUCCUCGGGAGCUUGGGGCUCGAAGCCGCGGGGCAGCGAGAACAUUCUGCGGGGGCUGAGGCUGGCGAGGCGGCGGGCACUCGGCGUCCUCGGCAGCCCCUGCUGCUGGCGGCGGAUCCGCGGCCGGCGGGGACUCCGGCGAACGAGCGGGAGUCGCCAUUUUCCCGGAAGAACAGUCUUCUUCUAGCCGAAUCGAGCUUUAUUAAAACGCCGGAAACAAACACGGACAGGGAGGAGGGGUGGCCGGAGGGGGUGGGAAGGAACGGAAGUUGCCGAGUGACGUCAGACGCCGGCGAGGCGCGCUUUCGAGUCGCUUGUUCUUCCCCUGUGCAUCCGCUCUCCGCCUGUUAUGUUCAGAAAGUAUUAGGGUGAUGGUGGCCUCAUAGAAUGACCUUGGCAGUGUUCCUUCCUCUGCAGUUUUUUGGAAGAGUUUCAGAAGCAGAGAGAGUACAAGUGUUCUUCGAACCACGAACGAUAAAAGGAACUGCUUCCGACCCAGAGCAAGCUACCAUUGUGUCAUCUUCCAAAGAGCCAGAGACUAAAUCUGGAGAAGAGCUCGUGGGACAUGAUCUGGAAACAGUUCAAUUGAGCAGGUUCCGCCCAGCCUUGUGCUCCUCCCUGAUCUCCUGGUUCCUUUAACGGCAAGCUAAAGAACUCAGCGGGAUUCCAGACGGCUUGUCAACAGAAGAACGAAGCCCAAGGGCAAGGACGACUGGAACUCAGCUAACACCAGAUGAUAAGAUCCAUGAGGGCAGGACCACAUCUGCCCCGCUCCCCACUGGGUACCCAGCCCCACCACAGAGAAAAUGCCGAUCCAGAACCAGUCAGAAGAACUAGUGAUGGGAGGGAGAUGACCAAUCCCUGUCUAACACCACAAAAGGAGACUUAAUUUGGUACAAAGAUCUAGCCAAGUGGGGACACUGUGAUUCAGAUGACAGCAACAAUGGAUGGGAACUAGAUUCCUACCCCUGGGAAACAACGCAGACAGCACCCUGCAGUGAGGCAGGAGAAAUGGAGUGCACCACAGCCAAGGAGCGCCACGGGGAAAUGAGGGACAGCCUUGCCCCAGACUUCAUGUGUGUGAAGUUCAGAAGCUGAAAAGCUAUGAUCUAACAGCCAUGGUUCCAGAGAUGCUAAAUGUGACAAAGCAAUGCUUUUCCUUGGGAAACACACUCCUGACAACUACCCAAUGCUGAUAUACGGCAAGACCUACCCAUCCCUGUUGCUGGCACUGUUCCUGCCUGGCAGUGCCAAGGAACUGUGAAAGUGCAUGCGGGGUUUCCUCAUCUGAGCCUUUGUUCCCCAUUCUCUUAUUCUACUGAGCCCUGAGACCGACACACGGGCCAAUCACACUGUGUGACUGGGUUUCUCGUUUGGGAGCAGAUUUUAUCUAAUGUGUACGUUUAUCCUACACACAAUAAAAAAAAAAAGGAGUCC